CAGCCGCCGCGGUAAUACGGAGGGUGCAAGCGUUAAUCGGAAUUACCGGGCGUAAAGCGCACGCAGGCGGUUUGUUAAGUCAGAUGUGAAAUCCCCGAGCUUAACUUGGGAACUGCAUUUGAAACUGGCAAGCUAGAGUCUUGUAGAGGGGGGUAGAAUUCCAGGUGUAGCGGUGAAAUGCGUAGAGAUCUGGAGGAAUACCGGUGGCGAAGGCGGCCCCCUGGACAAAGACUGACGCUCAGGUGCGAAAGCGUGGGGAGCAAACAGGAUUAGAUACCCCUGUAGUCCCUGUCUCUUAUAC
rnacentral:rRNA from 1 species